UGUUACCAACUCCGACCUCAGAUCGGACGAGAUUACCCGCUGAAUUUAAGCAUAUAACUAAGCGGAGGAAAAGAAACUAACAAGGAUUUCCCCAGUAACGGCGAGUGAAGCGGAAAUAGCCCAGCACCGAAUCCCUCAGUGUCACGCUGACGGGAACUGUGGUGUGUGGGACGCCACCAGUCGCAUCAGUGGGCACCGAAGUCCUCCUGAUCGAGGCUUCACCCAGAGCGGGUGUAAGGCCUUUGCAGGUGCCCUACUGUGCGGCCGCGAGCGUCUCAGGAGUCGGGUUGUUUGGGAAUGCAGCCCAAAGCGGGUGGUAAACUCCAUCUAA
rnacentral:rRNA from 1 species